rnacentral:rRNA from 1 species
UACGGAAUGUGCAAACGUAUUCGGAAUCACUGGGCUUAAAGAGUCCGUAGGCGGCAUGUUAGGUGAGGUGUGAAAUCCCCCGGCUCAACCGAGGAAUUGCGCUUCAAACCGGCGUGCUAGAGGAAGAUAGAGGUGGGCGGAACUGAUGGUGGAGCGGUGAAAUGCGUUGAUAUCAAUCAGGAACACCGGAGGCGAAGGCGGCCCACUGGGUCUUUUCUGACGCUGAGGACGAAAGCUAGGGGAG